CCUGUUUACUUUAAGAGCUGUAAAGUAGGAGGACUGAGGAGGGCGAAUCCUGAGCUGCCAGGACCCCUAUUCUUUUUACAACCCAAAGAAAACUUGAAAGAAAAUGAAGAACUUUGUCCUUAGAAACAAGCCAUCUGUUACAGAGCGGAGCAAACCAGCCAGGCCUCUGUGAGCCUCACAUCACUUCUGCCAGGCGCUGGCUGGGCAGCCUCUGUUGCAAGCUGUCUAGUCUCUAAUUCCUGUAACUCAGGAACAAUAUCAACUGGUUGAUGAAAUGUCUGGAAGAGUCCAGGGCAAAGUAAAUGCAGCAACAAACUCCAACUUAGCUCUGGCCAGGAGUGGCUCUGCAAAUUCUUUCUCCUUCUGGGACAGGCUGGAGGAGAGAGUUAAACCAGAGGAAAGCAAGAUUUUAGACACGUGCGAAAGGGUCCUCAGUCCCUGCUCCUCUCUCAGGCUGAGACUUUAGAAUCCCAGAAACCACAAUGAAGUCUCUUGCCCGUGGUUCCCCCACCCUCCCUCUGCGUCCUAGCAACCCUGAUGCUUCCUCAUGUGGCCCUCUGAUGACAGGUGGUGUGUCUCAUCCUCUUGGGAUCUAUCAACAAGUGGAAACCAAAAGCAAGGCUGAAGCCAGUGGAAAGAUGAAGGCAGGGACUGGUUAUUCCCUCUCCUGACACAUGGCCUGAAGGAGCCUUCCAAAAUACAGACACAACCUGGGAAAGGCAGAAAACAUCCUGCGUUGAUUGAGAAAUCCCUAAAAUCAAUGAGAUAAUCCUGAACUGAUCACGAAUAAACUGACAUGAAUGUAAAUUGGCUGAGAUUGAGUUUUUACCACCCACUAGAAUGCAGGCCUGAAACAGAAACUAGUAAAAGUAAAGAACAAUUAUAUUUCCUGUACCUGUGAACUUGUAGACUGCAAUAUGGAUACAUGGAUGGAUAGAAGAAAGAUUUGGUGUAGAAAUAAAGAAAGAACGCAG
rnacentral:lncRNA from 1 species